rnacentral:rRNA from 1 species
AUUGAACGCUGGCGGCAGGCCUCACACAUGCAAGUCGAGCGAGCGGCGGACGAGUGAGUAAUGUCUGGGAAACUGCCUGAUGGAGGGGGAUAACUACUGGAAACGGUAGCUAAUACCGCAUAACAUCAGAUGUUCCCAGAUGGGAGUAGCUAGUAGGUGGGGUAACGGCUCACCUAGUCGACGAUCCCUCGCUGGCCUGAGCGGAAGACCAGCCAUACUGGAACUGAGACACGGUCCAUACUCCUACGGGAGGCGUCAGUGGGAAAUAUUGCACACUGUGCGCAAGCCUGAUGCAGCCAUGCCGCGUAUGUGAAGAAGGCUUUCGGGUUGUAAAGCACUUUCAGCGGGGAGGCGUUACCCGCAGAAGAAGCACCGGCUAACUCCGUGCCAGCAGCCGCGGUAAUAC